rnacentral:rRNA from 1 species
GUCAAGCUACAAAGGGCUCACGGAGGAUACCUAGGCACACAGAGGCGAUGAACGGACGUGGUUUACCUGCGAUAAGUCUCGGGGAGUUGGAAGCACACUUUGAUCCGGGAAUUUCCGAAUGGGGCAACCCCAUGUACGGCCACUGAUAUAUAGGUUGGUGCGAGCUACCCAGCGAACUGAGCAUCUAGU